AACGAACGCUGGCGGCAGGCUUAACACAUGCAAGUCGAACGCACCGCAAGGUGAGUGGCAGACGGGUGAGUAACGCGUGGGAACAUACCCUUUGGUUCGGGAUAGCUCAGGGAAACUUGGGGUAAUACCGGAUACGUGCGAGAGCAGAAAGAUUCAUCGCCGAAGGAUUGGCCCGCGUCUGAUUAGCUAGUUGGUGUGGUAACGGCGCACCAAGGCGACGAUCAGUAGCUGGUCUGAGAGGAUGAUCAGCCACAUUGGGACUGAGACACGGCCCAAACUCCUACGGGAGGCAGCAGUGGGGAAUAUUGGACAAUGGGCGCAAGCCUGAUCCAGCCAUGCCGCGUGAGUGAUGACGGCCUUAGGGUUGUAAAGCUCUUUCGCACGCGACGAUAAUGACGGUAGCGCGAGAAGAAGCCCCGGCUAACUUCGUGCCAGCCGCCGCAGUAAAAC
rnacentral:rRNA from 1 species